UAUGCACGCUGGCGGCGUGCCUAAUACAUGCAAGUCGAGCGAACAGACGAGGAGCUUGCUCCUCUGACGUUAGCGGCGGACGGGUGAGUAACACGUGGAUAACCUACCUAUAAGACUGGGAUAACUUCGGGAAACCGGAGCUAAUACCGGAUAAUAUAUUGAACCGCAUGGUUCAAUAGUGAAAGACGGUUUUGCUGUCACUUAUAGAUGGAUCCGCGCCGCAUUAGCUAGUUGGUAAGGUAACGGCUUACCAAGGCAACGAUGCGUAGCCGACCUGAGAGGGUGAUCGGCCACACUGGAACUGAGACACGGUCCAGGCUCCUAGGGGAGGCAGAGGUAGGGAAUCUUCCGAACAGGGCGAAAGCCUGACGGAGGAACGCCGGGUGAGUGAUGAAGGGCUGCGGGUCGUAAAACUCUGUAUUAGGGAAGAACAAAUGUGUAAGUAACUAUGCACGUCUUGACGGUACCUAAUAAGAAAGCCACGGCUAACUACGUG
rnacentral:rRNA from 1 species